rnacentral:tRNA from 1 species
GUGACUUUAGUUUAAAAUAGAAUGGUGAUUUGUCUAGUCACUGGUGAUGUUAUAUCAAGUUACU